rnacentral:tRNA from 1 species
GGUUUCGUGGUGUAGUGAUUAUCACGUCUGCUUUACACGCAGAAGACCGCGAGUUCGAACCUCGCCGGAACCU